AAGUCGUAACAAGGUCUCCGUUGGUGAACCAGCGGAGGGAUCAUUACCGAGUUUACAACUCCCAAACCCAAUGUGAACGUUACCAAACUGUUGCCUCGGCGGGGUCACGCCCCGGGUGCGUCGCAGCCCCGGAACCAGGCGCCCGCCGGAGGAACCAACCAAACUCUUUCUGUAGUCCCCUCGCGGACGUAUUUCUUACAGCUCUGAGCAAAAAUUCAAAAUGAAUCAAAACUUUCAACAACGGAUCUCUUGGUUCUG
rnacentral:misc_RNA from 2 species